GACGUAGGGCGCGAGCGUUGUCCGGAUUUAUUGGGCGUAAAGAGCUCGUAGGCGGUCUGUCGCGUCGGCUGUGAAAACACGGGGCUCAACUCCGUGCCUGCAGUCGAUACGGGCAGACUAGAGUUCGGUAGGGGAGACUGGAAUUCCUGGUGUAGCGGUGAAAUGCGCAGAUAUCGGGAGGAACACCUAUGGCGAAGGCAGCUCGCUGGGACGUUACUGACGCUGAGACGCGAAAGCGUGGGGAGCAAACAGG
rnacentral:rRNA from 1 species